AAGGUACUGGGAGUUUGGGGACUAGAGGACUAGGGCAGGGAGACGGGGGAAGAGAGGAGGGGAGAGAGAGAGGCGGAGGGGUGGGGGAGAGAGAAGAGAAGUUUCCUGGAGUUGAGUGUAUUUAUCUUUUUCUCUUGCUUUCUUUGUGCCUCUGCGGGCUUCCAGGGGAUUUGGCUUUCAGUGGGGUACCGUGAGUUUCUGGGUCCCCAGGAUAAAUCUCUCUCUGCCUCUCUUUCUGCCCUCUCUUUUUUAUCUCCCUCUGCAGUCUUCACCCCACUUGCUGGCCAGCUACUUCACAAUUGCCUCCCGCUUUUAAGGUGGCUCUGGACGGGUGUACGUGGGGAGUGGGGACUGUCUGGGUUGUUGGCGAACAGCUCCUUAAAUAGCCGAUUAAGCAUGCAGGAUGGCCUUGCUCAGAGCGCAGCGCAGCAGGUUUCACAGGGGCCCUGGCCCUGGCUCAGGAGCGCAGCUGGGAUAAGUUUUAUGUUUCAAAGUUCCCCCAAAGCCCCACUCAUCCCAUCUAAGAAGAAGAAAAGGCUUAAAGUGUAAAUUAGACUUCCUGGGAAUCAGGACAGUUAACACAGAGGAACAGAAAAAAGAAAGAAAGCAGAGACAUCUUUUGCAAGGUAGGAAAGAAGAGGCCCGGACAGAAUGACCUCUGCCAGGACAGAGUUCCCCUGGAGUGUCUGGGGCUGUGAUGCAGCCUCCCAAGGUAGGUAAUGUGUCUUACCAGGCGCCACCUCCUGGUUGUCUAUGAAUUUUUUAAUUUUUAAAGUUUCAAUUCAAAAUGUUUUGUGUGUGAUUCCUUCUGGGAAGUGUUUCACUACUGGUGGGCUUUGGGAUUUUGCCUACACAACUGAAUAAUGUUUCACAAAGAUGUCUUAGCCCCAAAUCAGCACCUUCCCACUUCUGAGUGAGCAGUCCCUCCAGGCCCUCAUGCUUCCCAAAAGGACAAAGGCCCUGGUAUCUAGGAGAGAGGGGGAAAGGAGGCAAACUCCAGGCACUUGCCUUUAUUUAUUUAUUUUUUAAAAAUUUUUAUCGGAGUUGCCUUUAUUUUUACCUUUGGCUUUACUGUGGAUAUUCCUGUUGUCACCAGGCUGAUUUGGAGUAGUGUCAGGAGGACCCCUACAUGUUAAAAAAAAAAAGCCCCCCACAGUUGCUACUCAAACUCUGACGCCUUUGUUUUAAUUCCUACUUCUCCCUCUAGCCCUUUGCUCACUCUGGGGUUGGCUGAAACCCUGCUAAAACCAAGUUCUGCUGCCUUCUGGCGCCAUCUCCUGUCCUUCCAAAUGCAGUGAACUAUGAACCAGUCAGAGAGUCAAAGGUAUCCAAGAGUGGUGACUUUUGGGUUUGUUUUUUCUCGCCUUGUUUUAUUUAUUUAUUUACUCGGCUGUGCCAGGUCUUAGUCGCGGCACGUGGGAUCUUUGUUGUGGCAUGCAUGUGAGAUCUAGUUCCCUGACCAGGGAUCGAGCCUGGCCCCCCUGCAUUGGGAGCGUGUAGUUUUAAGCACUGGACCACCAGGUAAGUCCCAAGGGUUUGUUUUUUCCUUAAGAG
ensembl:lncRNA